AGUGAACGCUGGCGGUAGGCCUAACACAUGCAAGUCGAACGGCAGCACAGGAGAGCUUGCUCUCUGGGUGGCGAGUGGCGGACGGGUGAGGAAUACAUCGGAAUCUACUUUUUCGUGGGGGAUAACGUAGGGAAACUUACGCUAAUACCGCAUACGACCUACGGGUGAAAGCAGGGGACCUUCGGGCCUUGCGCGAUUGAAUGAGCCGAUGUCGGAUUAGCUAGUUGGCGGGGUAAAGGCCCACCAAGGCGACGAUCCGUAGCUGGUCUGAGAGGAUGAUCAGCCACACUGGAACUGAGACACGGUCCAGACUCCUACGGGAAGCAGCAGUGGGGAAUAUUGGACAAUGGGCGCAAGCCUGAUUCAGCCAUACCGCGUGGGUGAAGAAGGCCUUCGGGUUGUAAAGCCCUUUUGUUGGGAAAGAAAUCCGGCUGGCUAAUACCCGGUUGGGAUGACGGUACCCAAAGAAUAAGCACCGGCUAACUUCGUGCCAGCCGCCGCAGUAA
rnacentral:rRNA from 1 species